GACGAACGCUGGCGGCGUGCUUAACACAUGCAAGUCGAGCGGUAAGGCCCUUUCGGGGGUACGACGAGCGGCGAACGGGUGAGUAACACGUGGGUGACCUGCCCUCAGCUCUGGGAUAAGCCUGGGAAACUGGGUCUAAUACUGGAUAUGACUCCACGGUGCAUGCCGUGGGGUGGAAAGCCUUGUGCGGCUGAGGAUGGGCCCGCGGCCUAUCAGCUUGUUGGUGGGGUGANGGCCUACCAAGGCGACGACGGGUAGCCGGCCUGAGAGGGCGACCGGCCACACUGGGACUGAGACACGGCCCAGACUCCUACGGGAGGCAGCAGUGGGGAAGUCUUGCGCAAUGGGCGAAAGCCUGACGCAGCGACGCCGCGUGAGGGA
rnacentral:rRNA from 1 species